ACUAUAGCUUGACACUGAACAUUGAGCCUUGAUGUGUAGGAUAGGUGGGAGGCUUAGAAGUGUGGACGCCAGUCUGCAUGGAGCCGACCUUGAAAUACCACCCUUUAAUGUUUGAUGUUCUAACGUUGACCCGUAAUCCGGGUUGCGGACAGUGUCUGGUGGGUAGUUUGACUGGGGCGGUCUCCUCCUAAAGAGUAACGGAGGAGCACGAAGGUUGGCUAAUCCUGGUCGGACAUCAGGAGGUUAGUGCAAUGGCAUAAGCCAGCUUGACUGCGAGCGUGACGGCGCGAGCAGGUGCGAAAGCAGGUCAUAGUGAUCCGGUGGUUCUGAAUGGAAGGGCCAUCGCUCAACGGAUAAAAGGUACUCCGGGGAUAACAGGCUGAUACCGCCCAAGAGUUCAUAUCGACGGCGGUGUUUGGCACCUCGAUGUCGGCUCAUCACAUCCUGGGGCUGAAGUAGGUCCCAAGGGUAUGGCUGUUCGCCAUUUAAAGUGGUACGCGAGCUGGGUUUAGAACGUCGUGAGACAGUUCGGUCCCUAUCUGCCGUGGGCGCUGGAGAACUGAGGGGGGCUGCUCCUAGUACGAGAGGACCGGAGUGGACGCAUCACUGGUGUUCGGGUUGUCAUGCCAAUGGCACUGCCCGGUAGCUAAAUGCGGAAGAGAUAAGUGCUGAAAGCAUCUAAGCACGAAACUUGCCCCGAGAUGAGUUCUCCCUGACUCCUUGAGAGUCCUGAAGGAACGUUGAAGACGACGACGUUGAUAGGCCGGGUGUGUAAGCGCAGCGAUGCGUUGAGCUAAUCGGUACUAAUGAACCGUGAGGCUUAACCUU
rnacentral:rRNA from 1 species